CCUACGGGGGGCAGCAGUGAGGAAUAUUGGUCAAUGGACGAGAGUCUGAACCAGCCAAGUAGCGUGAAGGAUGACUGCCCUAUGGGUUGUAAACUUCUUUUAUAUGGGAAUAAAACGUUCCACGUGUGGGAUUUUGUAUGUACCAUAUGAAUAAGGAUCGGCUAACUCCGUGCCAGCAGCCGCGGUAAUACGGAGGAUCCGAGCGUUAUCCGGAUUUAUUGGGUUUAAAGGGAGCGUAGGUGGAUUGUUAAGUCAGUUGUGAAAGUUUGCGGCUCAACCGUAAAAUUGCAGUUGAAACUGGCAGUCUUGAGUACAGUAGAGGUGGGCGGAAUGCGUGGUGUAGCGGUGAAAUGCUUAGAUAUCACGAAGAACUCCGAUUGUGAAGGCAGUUCACUGGACUGCAACUGACACUGAGGCUCGAAAGUGUGGGUAUCAAACAGGAUUAGAUACCCGUGUAGUC
rnacentral:rRNA from 1 species